CGCCUUAUACUCCUACGGGAGGCAGCAGUGGGGAAUUUUGGACAAUGGGGGCAACCCUGAUCCAGCCAUGCCGCGUGCGGGAAGAAGGCCUUCGGGUUGUAAACCGCUUUUGUCAGGGAAGAAACGCUCUAGGCUAAUACCUUGGAGUAAUGACGGUACCUGAAGAAUAAGCACCGGCUAACUGCGUGCCAGCAGCCGCGGUAAUACGUAGGGUGCAAGCGUUAAUCGGAAUUACUGGGCGUAAAGCGUGCGCAGGCGGUUGUGUAAGUCAGAUGUGAAAUCCCCGGGCUCAACCUGGGAAUUGCAUUUGGGACUGCACGGCUAGAGUGUGUCAGAGGGGGGUAGAAUUCCACGUGUAGCAGUGAAAUGCGUAGAUAUGUGGAGGAAUACCGAUGGCGAAGGCAGCCCCCUGGGAUAACACUGACGCUCAUGCACGAAAGCGUGGGGAGCAAACAGGAUUAGAAACCCUUGUAGUCCACGUACCA
rnacentral:rRNA from 1 species